rnacentral:rRNA from 1 species
UACAGAGGUCUCAAGCGUUGUUCGGAUUCAUUGGGCGUAAAGGGUGUGUAGGUGGCGCGCUAAGUCGGGUGUGAAAUUUCGGAGCUUAACUCUGAAACUGCACUCGAUACUGCUUUGCUCGAGGACUGGAGAGGAGAUUGGAAUUCACGGUGUAGCAGUGAAAUGCGUAGAUAUCGUGAGGAAGACCAGUGGCGAAGGCGGAUCUCUGGACAGUUCCUGACGCUGAGGCACGAAGGUCAGGGGAGCAAACGGG